CUUUUUUGCCCCACUGUAAGUAGGAGGAGAUAUGGAGGAUAAGAUAUGGAGGAGGAGAUAUGGAGGAGGAGGUACGGAGGAGAUAAGGAGGAGGAGGUAUGGAGGAAGAGAUACAGGUCUCACUCCUCCUCCUCCAUAAACACAGAGGGUUGGUGAGGAGAGGACCAGCUAGCAGAGGGGUGGUGAGGAGAGGACCAGCUAGCAGAGGAGAGGACCAGCUAGCAGAGGAGUGGUGAGGAGAGGACCAGCUAGCAGAGGAGAGGACCAGCUAGCAGAAGAGUGGUGAGGAGAGGACCAGCUAGCAGAGGAGUGGUGAGGAGAGGACCAGCUAGCAGAGGAGAGGACCAGCUAGCAGAGGGGAGGUGAGGAGAGGACCAGCUAGCAGAGGAGAGGACCAGCUAGCAGAGGAGUGGUGAGGAGAGGACCAGCUAGCAGAGGACUGGUGAGGAGAGGACCAGCUAGCAGAGGAGUGGUG
ensembl:lncRNA